AACGAACGCUGGCGGCAUGCCUAACACAUGCAAGUCGAACGAGACCUUCGGGUCUAGUGGCGCACGGGUGCGUAACGCGUGGGAACCUGCCCUUAGGUUCGGAAUAACUCCCCGAAAGGGGUGCUAAUACCGGAUAAUGUCUUCGGACCAAAGAUUUAUCGCCUUUGGAUGGGCCCGCGUUGGAUUAGCCAGUUGGUAGGGUAAAAGCCUACCAAGGCGACGAUCCAUAGCUGGUCUGAGAGGAUGAUCAGCCACACUGGGACUGAGACACGGCCCAGACUCCUACGGGAGGCAGCAGUGGGGAAUAUUGGUCAAUGGGCGAAAGCCUGAUCCAGCAAUGCCGCGUGAGUGAUGAAGGCCUUAGGGUUGUAAAGCUCUUUUACCCGGGAUGAUAAUGACAGUACCGGGAGAAUAAGCGCCGGCUAACUCCGUG
rnacentral:rRNA from 1 species